rnacentral:rRNA from 1 species
AAAGGAAGCGAUUCCGGCUACGGAUGGUCAUGCGUCGCAUUAGCUUGUUGGCGGGGUAACGGCCCACCAAGGCGACGAUGCGUAGGGGUUCUGAGAGGAAGGUCCCCCACACUGGUACUGAGACACGGACCAGACUCCUACGGGAGGCAGCAGUGAGGAAUAUUGGUCAAUGGCCGCAGGGCUGAACCAGCCAAGUCGCGUGAGGGAUGACGGUCCUAUGGAUUGUAAACCUCUUUUGUCAGGGAGCAAAGGGCGCCACGUGUGGCGUUUUGCGAGUACCUGAAGAAAAAGCAUCGGCUAACUCCGUGCCAGCAGCCGCGGUAAUACGGAGGAUGCGAGCGUUAUCCGGAUUUAUUGGGUUUAAAGGGUGCGCAGGCGGAAUGUCAAGUCAGCGGUAAAAUUUCGGGGCUCAACCCCGUCGUGCCGUUGAAACUGGCGUUCUUGAGUGAGCGAGAAGUAUGCGGAAUGCGUGGUGUAGCGGUGAAAUGCAUAGAUAUCACGCAGAACUCCGAUUGCGAAGGCAGCAUACCGGCGCUCAACUGACGCUCAUGCACGAAAGCGUGGGUAUCGAACAGGAUUAGAUACCCUGGUAGUCCACGCAGUAAACGAUGAAUACUAACUGUCCGGGCAGAAUGAUGCCUGG